AUGGCGGCGAAAACAAAAACAUUUGCGUCUGCCGGGAUGAAAGGAAUGAUGAAGCCCGUGAUCAGCACAGAUGUGAUGGGAAAUCGGAAUGUUGAAAUCAGGCCCGUCGGCGCCUGGGUCCAGCCUGCUACUGAACAGAUGAUCAACAGUCAUCCCAACGCAAUAGAGGCGGCAGUGGAGGAGGAGAAUCGGAUGUUUCAGAUGCAGAGGGAGAAAGAGGACCGACUGAGACGCUUCCAGGACGAGGUCAAGAGAAGGGUUCGGCAUCUGGACAGGCUGAAGAAGCAGCAGCAGGCACAGAUGGUGGUCAACGCUAUUGAGCGAGAACGGCUUAUAGUUAGACAGAGCACAUUGUCAGCUCAGCGUCAGUCCACUCGAAAAGACAGCUGUACAGUGAGAACCCACCCGGGCUUAAGUAUCAGGUCCAGGGCAGCUCCAAACACACAAGGAGGCUGGGCAAACAGUCAACCGUCUUCCCACACACAGGCCUUCUCGGACCAGACGAACCAGGUUCAUGAAUUCACCAGUGAGGCGAGACGCAAGCUCGGGGGCCGACAGAUACUGACGGACAACUUCAUCAGGGAUGAUCUGCCGGGAGGAGUGUGGAGGGUGUCCCAUACCAGAGAUCACCCAUCAUCUCGACACACGGUAGAAGGAGAUGUCCUUGACCUUGAUAGUGACAACAGCAGCGCUGAAGACACCGAGGACAGAGAUGAUGUGGAUGAAGAGAAGUACACACAUGAUGAAAAUGAGGAGGAAAGUGAAAACCGGUGGCGGCGACAGAUGAAGACGGUACACUUUGACCUUUCACCCCCACGGACAGAGACGCGACAUGAGAGGAUCCAGCGCCGCAGUGUGCCAACAAUGACAGGCACAGACCUUCAGCGCCCCGCCCCAGUCAUCCCUGUCCCCGACAUCUACACGGGGGUAACGAUGGAGGAGAACCGACGCAGACAGCGUAGUCAGACUGCACUCUACCGACGAAUGUUCAUGGACCAGGAACGGGAGCAGGUGAAGGAGAAUCUCCGACGACAGGAACAUCGAAAGCGGAUCCAAAAACUGAAGCAAGACAAGGAGGAGGCUCGUCAGGAAGAGGAGGAGCAGGCACUACGCCUUGUGCAGCCUCGAGACCCGGUGACCGGGGAGACAUCUGAUGAGGCCAUCCUCCGGGACCAGCUGGAGCAGUCUCACAUCCGGGACACCCUGCAACAACAUCAACACACCCGACGCCGACACAAGGAGAUGGAGAGAUAUGUAGAGGCAUUGCGUCACAACCUGCGUGAGAAGAUAGUGAAAAGAGGGGUACAGUUACCGCCCUUGUGUUGCUGUGGUGACUCGCUGUGGGACACCAACCCCGACACCUGUGCCAACAACUGUUUCUUCUAUAAGAACCCUAAAGCGUAUGCCAAGGCGCUGCAGUCUCUCCUGGUGUCCUGUGAAGUAGUCUGACCCUAGCUUCCCCAGCAGACCAAUAGGUCCAUCAACCACCAUCAACCACCAUCAUCACUGCAGUCUCUCCUAGUUCCUGUGAAGUACCGGUAGUCUGACCCUAGCUCCCCUAGCAGACCAGUACGUCCAUCAACCACCAUCAACCACCAUCAUCACUGCAGUCUCUCCUGGUGUCCUGUGAAGUAGUCUGACCCUAGCUUCCCUAGCAGACCAAUAGGUCCAUCAACCACCAUCAACCACCAUCAUCACUGCAGUCUCUCCUGGUGUCCUGUGAAGUAGUCUGACCCUAGCUUCCCUUGCAGACCAAUAGGUCCAUCGACCACCAUCAACCACCAUCAUCACUGCAGUCUCUCCUGGUGUCCUGUGAAGUAGUCUGACCCUAGCUUCCCUUGCAGACCAAUAGGUCCAUCGACCACCAUCAACCACCAUCAUCACCGCAGUCUCUCCUGGUGUCCUGUGAAGUAGUCUGACCCUAGCUUCCCUUGCAGACCAAUAGGUCCAUCGACCACCAUCAACCACCAUCAUCACCGCAGUCUCUCCUGGUGUCCUGUGAAGUAGUCUGACCCUAGCUUCCCUUGCAGACCAAUAGGUCCAUCGACCACCAUCAACCACCAUCAUCACUGCAGUCUCUCCUGGUGUCCUGUGAAGUAGUCUGACCCUAGCUUCCCUUGCAGACCAAUAGGUCCAUCAACCACCAUCAACCACCAUCAACCACCAUCAUCACUGCAGUCUCUCCUGGUGUCCUGUGAAGUAGUCUGACCCUAGCUUCCCUUGCAGACCAAUAGGUCCAUUAACCACCAUCAACCACCAUCAUCACAGUCACUGAGUAAUGCUUCCAGGAGCUAGACAUUUGAAUGAUGCAACAUGAUGCAGAGGAGAAUCAAUACUUAUUUAUACUGUUUGAUUUACAUUAGUUUUACCCUGAACAGUUAUCUGACAUGACUUUUAUCCAGAACACUUGUCUGAACAUAGGGUGGUUUCCCCAACAUCGGCCCAACCUUCAGGUUUAUUUUAGAGGGUUGUCGGACCAUCAGUUCUAUCCUGAUAAGGUAUCUGUCUAUCCCUUUUAUAUUGAACUGCUGAAAACAUUGCCUUUACUGUAUAGUUUUCCCCCCUUCAGCAAUUGAAGAGAGUAGGGGAGUGUAUGUUGUUUUAUGCCUCACCAAACUGACUAAAUCACUUUGAAACAGGCAAACCAGAAAUUGACAGCACUAGCAAUGACCCAUGCCAUUGGUGUAUUUUGACACACACAUGGUAUCCAUGUUAUCCCCAUCAGUCAGCUUUAGGACAGACAUAGGGACCAAUAGGGAUCUACCCAAACGGG